GAUGAACGCUGGCGGCGUGCCUAACACAUGCAAGUCGAACGAAGCUCCCCGAAUUGAGUUUUCGGACAAGAGGAAGGGAUGACUUAGUGGCGGACGGGUGAGUAACGCGUGAGCAACCUGCCUCGGAGUGGGGGACAACAGUUGGAAACGACUGCUAAUACCGCAUAACGUGCAGAGGGGACAUCUCCUUUGCACCAAAGAUUUAUUGCUCUGAGAUGGGCUCACGUCUGAUUAGUUAGUUGGUAGGGUAACGGCCUACCAAGACUGCGAUCAGUAGCCGGACUGAGAGGUCGAACGGCCACAUUGGGACUGAGAUACGGCCCAGACUCCUACGGGAGGCAGCAGUGGGGAAUCUUGCGCAAUGGACGAAAGUCUGACGCAGCCACGCCGCGUGAGUGAAGAAGGCCUCGGUUGUAAGACUCUGUCACCUCGGACGAAAACGACUAAGUUAAUAAGCCUUAGGAAUUGACGGUACCGAGGGAGGAAGGACGACCGGCGUAACUUCGUG
rnacentral:rRNA from 1 species